AGGAGCGCGCAAGGCUUGCUACGGGCAGAGUUGUCCCGGUGGCCCGGAGUUCCAGCCUCUGUCCAGCAUGGCCUCACUGAGUUCGCGGAGCUUCUAAUGCCACGCGGGCGUCAGGUGCAUUCAUUUCACCCCGGAGAUCUGAAGAAGAAGAGUUUAUCUGCAUUCCCCUUCCUUCCUGCUUCCCACCUCCAAAGCCCGCCACUGAUCCUGCGAAUAAGUUUGCCCUGAAGUGUGGAAUAUCCCAUUCCUGCACAACUCGGUUCUACACCCCCUCCCCCGUGGGAUUCAGAGUGGCAAGAGGAAAAACAGCAAGUCCAACUCCACAGGUUUGUAAGGAGCAGCCAGCUUUGAUUUGCCCUGCACGUCAUAGCUCAGAAAGUUUUGCUGCUCAUACAAUCCUCAGCAAAGACCAUCCAUUCAUUCCGGGAUUCCCCCAGCUCAUGGACACAGGUCGGUCUCUAACUACAGACAGCCUUCUUCUGGAAACUCUCACCAGCCUGAUUUCUAAACUCCCAGUCCACCUUCACAUUGUUUGCCUGUUUUCAGUGCCUUUCCUCUGCAGAUCUCUCAGUAGGCAGCCGUAAGGAGUCAGCAAAGGCUAACACGGCUGCCCUCAGCUGGAAACCUAGUGUAGUGCCUAUUACAUUUCUCCUGGAACCACUCCUUGUGAGAAAGGCAAUUCAAACUCUAUCUUAAGUGAGCAUCUACUUCCUUUUCAUCUGAGUUAUAAAAGAAUAGUGCCCCCUUUGGCUCAAAUCUAUGCAAUGUGGAGGAAGAAAAGGCAAGAGCUAAUCCUUGCCAUGAAUUCAUCAUUGUCAUCGUCACCAUUUCACCAUUAUCAGCAACAGACUCUAGAAACAACUUGGUGAAGGCUUGAAAAUAGAGGGUAGAGCAGAUAUAGGGCAGCCUUCUCAAGGAUAUCUCCUCCUUUUUUUGAAAAGAGAUGUUCUCUUUUUCUUGCAUCUUUAUUCUCAGUCCAUUUGCCCUACAGCCUCUGUGCUUCCAAGAUGAAGUUCUGAUAAGUGUCUGCUGUGAUAAGAUAAUAAGAGAGUCUAUCUAUGUAGCUUGGAAAUAAACACUGGAAUUGCUUCUCAAAAAUCCAGAUUGAUUUAAACACCCUCUGGCAAUGUUCUUUUGGCAUCCUCCCCAAUUUUAAAUAACUUGGGUCACAGUUUCCUCCACUCAUUGACUCAGCACUUCAGUGGCAAAGUGACCCUCUAAAUUUCACCUCAGCUAAGAUAGCUCCUCCACCUCCUAGAAGGAUAAUAUUGUGAAUUAAAUGCUGAUGCUGUUUCUGAUUUAGCACAUAUGCACCACCCACAGACAAUUUAUUCUAGACUUUCUUUUAAUGCCAGGGGCUUUAAGAUUACUGAUGAACAGAUCCCUCCCCCAUCCAAGCCCUCUAUUCACCCAGGAAUUUGCGAUGGAAAUAGUACUGUUGGCUGGAGUAGAGCGGCAUACCAGUGCUUCUGAGAGCUGAGUGGCCGUUGCCAUGGGGGCGAGUGUGUUUGUAUAGAACUGCCUAUACAAGGUGGCAGGAUUGAGGGCUGCUUUUGAUUCAGAGCUGAUUAGAGUAGACCUGAGCCAGCCCCCUUAUUUUACAGAUGAGGAAACUGAGGCCCAAAGAUUUAGUCAAAUGACUUAUUCAAGGUCUGAGGGCAAGGUAGAGACAGAGUUGGGCCUUUUGCAAUGCAUCACUCUUUCCAAUAAAACACCCAUUCUGGUUGAGUGGGUGCUCUUCCAGCCAGUUCCACUAAUGCCACUAUGUUAUUACAGCACCAUCAAUCCAGGUGGAAGUGCCAGGAAACAUGGUACAGGCAAUAAUGAGUAUGUAAAUAUUCUUGCAUUUGUAUGCAUGCAUAUGUUUGCAUCAAAUUACACGUGCACACCUGAGGGUGAUUGUGCUAACUGGAUGUUUUUAUAGUUCUCUGAUUACUGAAAUUCCUUAAACCACCCUUUCCUCAAGUGAAAUGCGAAUAAGAAAUAAUACCUAUCUCAAAGGAUUAAAUGAAAUAAUGAAUUUAAAGUACUUAGCACAGUAGCUGGCAUAAUAAGUGUUUGAUAUUAUAUUGUUUCUAUUAUGUCUUUCUGCAAUGGAAUGUGUCAGUGACUGCCUUCCAGGCACUGGGCUAAAUGCUUUAAUUUUUCAUUUAAUAUUUACAACACAGUCCUUUGAAAUAGGUUCUUUUGUUAUCUGCACAGCACUAAUGAGAAAACUAGGCCUAGAGAGGUUGAAUAACUUGCCUAAGGUCCCAGGGCUAGGAAGUGGCUGAGCAAGAAUCAAAACCAGGUCUGUCUAAUGUUAAUGCCCUCAAUUUAACAAUUAGGUUGUACUGCCUCUCCUAUAGAAAAGAGGAGACACAAUGAAUCUAUUCUAGUGUUUUUGAAUUUGUUUGCAAGAACUCUAAAUCCAAAUACAUUAAAUACAAAUUGCAUGUGGGGUGGACUGGCUCAUCCAUAUAAAUAAAUUUUCAUUAAACCCACUGAAACUGUAAGCAAAGGGUUUGUUUUCACUCCCCUUUAAUUACAGUUUUUUAUAGAGACCCUACUUAGGCAUUUUGUAUAAGAGACAAUUGCCCAAUGAAUGCCAUUUUAUUCAAUAUCUUAUUAUUUCAAAACUCCAUAGGUCUCCUCUUUUUUUUUCUUGCUUUGUCUCCCAGGCUGGAUGCAGUGACGUGAUCUCAGCUCACUGCAACCUCCACCUCCCGGGUUCAAGCAAUUCUCCCUGCCUCAGCCUCCUGAGUAUCUGGGAUUACAGGCACCCACCACUACGCCGGGCUAAUUUUUGUAUUUUUAGUAGAGAUGGAGUUUCUCCAUGUUGGCCAGGCUGGUCUUGAACUCCUGACUUCAGGUGAUCUGCCCGCCUCGGCCUCCCAAAGCACUGGGAUUACAGGUGUGAGUUGCCGCGGCUGGCCCAUAGUCUCCAGACCUAUGUAAAAAAAUACUAAUCUAGGCCGGGCAAGGUGGCUCACCUCUGUAAUCCUAGCACUUUGGGAGGACAAGGUGGGAGAAUCACUCGAGUUGAGGAGUUGGAAACCAGCCUGGGCAACAUAGUGAGACUUUGUCUCUACAAAAAAUAAACAAAAUUAGCUGGAUGUGGUGGUGCAUGUCUGUAGUUCUAGCUACUUGGGAGGCUGAGGUGGGAGGAUUGCUUGAGCCCAAGAGGUUGAGGCUGCAGUGAGCCAGAUCACGCCACUGCACUCCAGCCCGGGUGACGCAGUGAGACCCUGUCUGAAAAAACAAGAGGAGUUUAAAACCAGCCUGGGCAAAAUAGGGAGACCCGUCUCUCUACAAAAUAUAAAAAUAAAUUAGCAGGCCAGGAGCAGUGACUCACGCCUAUAAGCCCAGCACUUUGGGAGGCCAAGGCAGGCUAAUCACCUGAGGUGGGGAGUUCGCAACCAGCCUGAACAACAGGUUUAGUAGAAACCCUGUCUCUACUAAAAGUACAAAAUUAGCUGGGUGUGGUGGCACAUGCCUGUAAUCCCAGCUACUAGGGAGGCUGAGGCAGGAGAAUCGCUUGAACCUGGGAGGCAGAGGUUGCUGUGAGCCGAGAUCGCGCCAUUGCACUCCAGCCUGGGCAACAAGAGCGAAACUCCAUCUCAAAAAAAUAAAUAAGUAAAUAAAAAAUUAGCAAGGCAUGGGGGCUUCCAUCUGUGGUCCCAGCUACUUGGGAGGCUGAGGCAGGAGGAUCACUUGAGCCCUGGAGGUCAAGGCUGCCAUAAGCAGUGAUCAUACCGCUAUACUCUAUCUGGGUGACAGAAUGAGACCCUGUCCCCCUACACACCCCAAAAAGAAUAUACCUAUUUGUUUUCUAUCUCCCCUACUAGAUUGUAGGCUCCAUAUGAGAACAAGGACCAUGGCUGCUUAGUUCAUCAAGAUAUAUGGUGAACCUAGCAGAAUGCCUAGCACAUAGUAAGCACUCAUAAAUAGUAGCUGAUGUCAUUAUUCCUAGUGAACUCCCUUUUUCAUUCUGCAAAAUGGCUGUUUCAAAGCUAUACCACUCUCUUCAAACUUCCUCCUCUAAUCUUUACCUCCUUAAAAUAGGAUAGAAAUUACUAUCUUAUUCUCUUUUUUUUUUUUUUCUGAGACAGAGUUUCGCUUUUGUUGCCCAGGCUGGAGUGCAAUGGUGCGAUCUUGGCUUACUGCAACCUUCGCCUCCCAGGUUCAAGUGAUUCUCCUUCCUCAGCCUCCAGAGUAGCUGAGAUUACAGUUGCCCGCCACCACACCCAGCUAAUUUUUUGUAUUUUUAGUAGAGAUGGGUUUUCACCAUGUUGGUCUCGAACUCCUGGCCUCAGGUGAUCUGGCCGCCUUGACCUCCCAAAGUGCUGGGAUUACAGGAGUGAGCCACCGCAUCGGGCCACUAUUCUCAUUUUCUAUAAUCUCCUUAAAUGCCCUGAAUUUGAGUUAAACUGGACCACUUAACAUUCCGUCACACCUCCAACCCACUGUUCGCACUAUUCCUCUCCCAGAAAUGCCCCCGUCUACUUCCCAUCCCAUAUUGUCAUGUUGUCCUUAAAGCUCAACUCAAAGGGCAAGCGCAUUCCCUUUUUAGUUUUCCCUGAUAGUCCACAAUUAACUGUUUCCUUCCCAGAGCCUUUCACAAUACUUUUACAUUAACUUUUCACAUUUUUUAUGUGUUAUUUGUGUGAGUCUCUUACCCCAAGGAGUGAAUUCUUUAGGGAUAAGAGAUUUGUUAUCUUCUUUAAAUCCCCACCACUCAGUACAGCUCUUGAUGCAUGGAAUGCAGUCAAUAUAUAGUAAGCAAAUUAGUAAAUCCAGGGCAGAGUAUCUUUAAAAGAAAAACACAAGUUAUCCCAGAAACUAACAAUAAGAGACCUGAUAGGACUCUGAGAAAAGGCAAAUACUGAAAAGGCCAGGUGUGGUGGUUCACACCUGUAAUCCCAGCACUUUGGGAGGCUGAGGUGGGCGGAUCACAAGGUCAGGAGAUUGAGAUCAUCCUGGAUAACACGGUGAAACCCCGUCUCUACUAAAAAUACAAAAAAAUAGCCGGCCUGGUGGCAGGCGCAUGUAAGUCCCAGCUAUUCAGGAGGGAGGCUGAGGCAGGAGAAUGGUGUGAACCCUGGGAGGCAGAGUUUGCAGUGAGCCGAGAUCGUGCCACUGCACUCCAGCUUGGGUGACAGAGCGAGACUCCAUCUCAAAAAAAUAAAUAAAUAAAUAAAAUAAAAAGAGAAAAGGCAAAUACUGUGUUAAUCAUGCCUCAGAAACAUCUUUUCUUUAAAAACCAUAGAAAUCGGCCAGGUGUCCGGGUGCGGUGGCUCAUGCCCAUAAUCCCAGCACUUUGGGAGGCCGAGGCGGGCGGAUCACAAGGUCAGGAGUUCAAGACCAGCCUGGCCAAUAUGGUGAAACCCCGUCUCUACUAAAAAAUACAAAAAUCAGCCAGUCGUGGUGGCACACGCCUGUAUUCCCAGCUACUCAGGAGGCUAAGGCCGGAGAAUCACUUGAACCCGGGAGGCAGAGGUUGCAGUGAACUGAGAUCGCACCACUGCACUCUAGGCUGGGCAACAGAGUGAGACUCUGUCUCAAAAAAAAAAAAGAAAAAAAAAAGCAAUGGGCCAGGCACGGUGGCUCAUGCCUGUAAUCCCAGUACUUUGGGAGGCCAAGGCGGGGCAGCUCACUUGAGCCCAGGAGUUUAAGACCAACCUGAACUCAUGACGAAACCCCAUCUAAAAAAAAAUUACAAAAAUUAGCCAGCGUGGUGUUGCAACUACUUGGGAGGCUGAGGUAGGGGGAUCACCUGAGCCCUGGAGGCUGAGGCUACAGUGAGCCCUGAUCAUGCCACUGCACUCCAGCCUGGGUGACAAAACAAAACCUGGUCUUAAAACAAAACAUAGAAAUCCUCAAAGAAGCUUCUCUUCCCACAUGGAAAAACAGAAACCCAGAAAUUGAGUGAAAAUUGAGUGAAAUCAGGACUCCUUGGGCUGACCACUAAGGCUUUAAGAAAAAAAGUCGGAUGCUCCUUACUUAGGGAAAAUGUGAAUGUGAGCUACUCUGUUCUUUCUUUCUUUCUUUUUUUUUUUUUUCUGAGACAAAGUCUCAUUCUGUCGCCCAGGGUGGAGUGCAGUGGUGCGAUCUCGGCUCACUGCAACCUCCACCUCCCGGGUUCAAGCGAUUGUCCUGUCUCAGCCUCCCGAGUACCUGGAAUUACAGGCAUGCGCCACCAUUCCCGGCUAAUUUUGUAUUUUUAGUAGAGACUGUGUUUCACCAUGCUGGCCAGGCUGGUCUAGAACUCCGGACCUCAGGUGAUCCGCCCGCCUCAGCCUCCUAAAGUGCUGGGAUUAUGGGUGUGAGCCACCGCACUUGGCCUUAGUUACCCUUUUCUAACUCUCGUUCAAUCUACAAAGAGGAGCUAGGCUCUACUUCCAGAUAUUCUGAGUUAAUUGGUUUAGCAUAUAGGAAUCGGUAUUUUUUAGAAGCCUCCCUGAAUGAUAAAAUGUGCAGCCAGGUUGGAGAAGCAGUUCUUAGAAUGACGUUAUGGACAUAAUAUGCCCCUCUUAAACUCAUAUGUUGAAGCCCUAACCCCUAAUGUGGUGGGUUUUGGGGGUGAGACCUUGGGAGGUAAUUAGAUUUAGAUGAGGUCUUGAGAGUAAAGCCCCGUAUUGAGAUUAGUGUCCUGAUAGGGAGGAAGAGACCAGACCUCUGUGUGUGUGUGUGUGUCUCUCUCUCCCACAAUGUGAGGACACAGCUGGAAGUUGGCCAUCUGCAAGCCAGGGCAAAGGCCCUUACCAAGAACCUGAUCAUGCUGACCCUGUGAUCUGGGACUUCCCAGCCUCCAGAACUUUGAGAAAUAAAUCUGUUUUGUUUUUGUUUUUGUUUUUUGAGACAGAGUCUUGCUCUCUCACCCAGGCUGGAGUGCAAUGGUGUGAUCUCAUCUCACUGCAACCCCUGCCUCCCGGGUUCAAGCAAUUCUCCUGUCUCAGCCUCCUGAGUAGCUGGGACUACAGGUGCCUGCCACCAAGCCUGGCUAAUUUUUGUAUUUUUAGUAGAGAUGGGGUUUCACCAUAUUGGUCAGGCUGCUCUUGAACUCCUGACCUCAGGUGAUUCACCCGCCUUGGCCUCCCAAAGUGCUGGGAUUACAGGCGUGAGUCACUGCGCCCGGCCAAAAUCUGUUGUCUAAGCCACUUAGUCUAUGGUAUUUUGUUACAGCACCUCAAGCUGCCUAAGACAAACAGCAACACACUGGUCUUUCUUUUUUGCUUUGCUUUGCUUUUUUUUUUGAGACGGAGUCUCGCUCUUUUCUCCCAGGCUGGAGCUCAGUGGCGCGAUCUCGGCUCACUGCAAACCUCCACCUCCUGGGUUCAAGCGAUUCUCCUGCCUCAGCCUCCUGAGUAGCUGGGAUUACAGGUGCCCACCACCAUGGCCCGGCUAAUUUUUGUACUUUUAGUAGAGAUGGAGUUUUGCCAUGUUGGCCAGGCUGGUCUGGAACUCCCAAUCUCAGGUGAUCCGUCCGCCGCGACCUCCCAAAGUGCUGGGAUUACAGGCGUGAGCCACUGCGCCUGGCCCUUUUUUCUUUUUUCUUUUUUUGAGAUGGAGUCUCGCUCUGUUGCCCAGGCUGGAGUGCAAUGGCGCGAUCUCGGCUCGCUGCAACCUCUGCCUCCCAGGUUCAAGCAAUUUCCAGCUAAUUCUUUUGAAUUUUUAGUAGAGACGGGGUUUCACCAUGUUGGCCAGGCUGAUCUGGAACUCCUGUCCACAAGUGAUCCGCAAUAUACUGGUCUUUCAUACAGGCAUAGUGGAGAGCCGAUAUAAAUAUCAGAAACUGAGACUUAGAAAUUCAACAAAUCAUCAUUAUCAUACAAAGCACUCUGAAACACUGCCUGGUGCAUAGACAACGCUCUAUAAGUGUAAGUGAGUAGUAGAAGUAUUAGUAUUAUCAUCACCAUUGUCAAACUGAUAAUGAGGGGUCGCUACAUACUUUCUUUUAAUUUUCACCAAAGAAUUAAAGGUAGAUUAUUUUUCUGUUAAAGAGCUUCUGAUUUAAUAGUGUUGAAUAGUUUGAACAAGGUUUCAGCGUCAGUAUUCAAAUUAUGACUGAAAUUUGAAUGUCUUUCAUUACAACAGGUUGAUGGCCGCAGAAAUAACUUCCUGUUAUUCAGAAUAGUGAUGCCCAGGACAAAUAUUACUAUUCCAUAUUUUCCCUGUUUCCUUGGCCAUCAUCCCUUUUUGCUUUCCAGAUUAAGCCCUCCAAGGGAGGUUUAAAUAAAAGGCCGUAUGGGCUAAAACCAAACAACAACUGAGCAAUACCAAUGGGCAGAAUUUGGGGAUCUAAAAACCUAAUGGUUUACCUGGAAACAACUAACCCUAUUUACAAUAAAGAGCCUCCAGCUCUUUGGCUCACCUCCAUCUCUUGGGCUCUCCUCCAGGCUUGGAGAGAUCAGACUGCUAAAGACAGUCUUUUUCAAGAGGUUCAUUUUUUAUCUAGUCCUCAAGUCCUCCUACCCUUAUUGAUUUCUUUUUUCUUUCCUUUUUUUUUUUUUUUUGGUUGUUGUUGUGUGUUGUGCUUUUUUGUUUUGUUUUGUAUUGAAACAGGUUCUUGCUCUGUUGCCCAGGCUAGAGUGCAGUGGCAUGAUCAUAGCUCAUGUAGCCUCCAUCACCUGGGCCCAAGUGAUCCUCCCACCUCAGCCUCCUGAAGAGCUGGGACUACAUGCAUGUGCCACUAUGCCAAGUUAGUUCUUUUGGUUUUUAGUAGAAAUGAGGUCUUGCUAUGUUGCCCAGGCUGGUCUCGAAUUCCUGAGUUCAAGCUAUCCUCUGGUCUCAGCCCCCCAAAUUGCUAGGAUUACAGGAUGAGCCACUGCACCCAGACUACCCUUGUUGAUUUCUAAAACUAUUUAAGUGUCUUAAAAACUCAGGAUGAUACCUAGAAAUGAGUCCAGAAAAGGGGAAAUGUGGGGGGAAGUGCUGUUGUUGACAUUAUCCCAAUAACCCCAGGAACCCAGAUCAGUCCAGCACUUUUUCAAAUGUCUUGAUUAUUUUACUGAUACAAAAUUGGAUCAGGCUUUUUGACAGUUUGUGGUGAGGGAAAAACCCAGAGCUGGGCCAGAAUGACACCAGGAAGCCCUAUGUUUCAUUUGGCUAAUAUUCUUUCUUAAAGAACCAAAUCAAAGUCAUUUCUUUUGUGACACUGUGAUAACAUGUGCAGUCCUACAGGUGGAGCUACCUUUAUUUAUUUAUUUAUUUAUUUGAGAUGAAGUCUUGCUCUGUCACCAGGCUGGAGUGCAGUGGCGCGAUCUCAGCUCACUGCAACCUCUGCCUCCUGGGUUCAAGUGAUUCUCCUGCCUCAGCCUCCUGAGUAGCUGGGACUACAGGCGCGGGCCACCACGCCUGGCUAAUUUUUUUGUUUUUUUAGUACAGAUGGGGUUUCACCAUGUUGGCCAGGAUAGUCUUGAUCUCUUGACCUCAUGAUCCGCCCGCCUAGGCCUCCCAAAGUGCUGGAACUACAGGUGUGAGCCACCGCGCCUGGCUGGAGCUAUCUUUAUUAUUGCACUUAUCAUUGUAUUAAAAUUAUUUGAUUACCUGUCACUUCUCUUCAUCUUUCUAUGAACAAAUAGAAAGAUAAUAUCUAUUACUUCUAUUCUCCCUCUAACAAUAGCAAUUACACAGUGGCAAAUACAUUAAAGAUGCUUAAUAAAUCAUUGUUAAACAAAUUAACAGAUAUAUGGAUACUAGGCCUUUGGGUCUUAUUUAGGCCUGAAGUGGUAGUACAAUUGCAGAGGACAUACUUUUGCAUCAUUUGGGCCUGUCUUAGUCUGUUUUGUGUUGUUAUAACAGAAUACCACAGAGUGGGUAAUUUACAAAGAAAAGAAAUUUAUUUCUGGAGGCUGGGAAGGUUAAGUUCUAGGGACCCACAUCUGAUGAGGGCCUUCUUUCUGUGUCAUCCCUUGGCAGGUGAAAGGCAAAGGGUGAGUGCAGGCCAUAGAACUCACAGCCUUAAGCCCUUUUUAAUUGGAUAUUAUAUUAACACAUUCAUGAGGGCUCCAUCCUCAUGACCUAAACACCUCCCAUUAGGCCCUACCUCCCAACACUGUUGGCGUUGGGGAUUGUUUCCAACAUGUAUUCCUUGGGGAACACAUUCAAACCACAGCAGGACCCAUAUCUGUGCAUCGUAUUAGAUGAUAAAACUUUUUUUUUUUUUGAGACAGAGUCUCGCUCUGUCACCCAGGCUGGAGUGCAGUGGCGCGAUCUUGGCUCACUGCAACCUCUGCCGCCCAGGUUCAAACGAUUCUCCUGCCUCAGCCUCCCAAGUAGCUAGGUUACAGGCACCUGCCACCAUGCCUGGCUAAUUUUUGUAGUUUUAGCAGAGACAGGGUUUCACCAUCUUGGCCAGGCUGGUUUUGAACUCCUGACCUUGUGAUCCACCCACCUCAGCCUCCUGAAGUGCUGGGAUUACAGGCAUAAGCCACCGCACCCAGCCAAUAAAACAUUUUUAUAUUUUAUUUUGCUUUAUUUGUCUUUGUAUCUUCUAUAGUACCCAUUUUCAAGAAAUAUAUAUUGAGGAUCUGUUCUGCUCAGAAAUGGAAUAGAAUUUGUAUGUUUUAACCAGGUCAAAGUCCAUUCAUAAACUUAACAUUUAUUGUCUUAUUGCUGUAUGAGAAUACUGUGACAGAUAGGAAGUGUAAAGGGUUGGACCAACAUUACUCUUACAGGAGAUGAGAAUCUGUGGGUAAUUUUUUUUUUUUUUGAGACAGUCUCGCUCUGUUGCCCAGGCUGGAGUACAGUGGCACGAUCUCGGCUCACUGCAGCCUCUGCCUCCCAGGUUCAAGCAGUUCUCCCACCUCAGCCUCCCUAGUAACUGGGAUUACACACAGCUAAUUUUUGUAUUUUUGUAGAGACGGGGUUUCACCAUGUUGGCCACCUCGUCAUGAACUCCUGACCUCCGGUGAUUUGUCCACCUCGGCCUCCCAAAGUGCUGGGAUUACAGGCAUGAGCCACCGCGCCUGGCCUUACUUUUUUUUUUUUUUUGAGACAGUUUCACUCUGUUGCCCAGGCUGGAGUGCAGUGGAGUGAUCUCAGCUCACUGCAACCUCUGCCUCCUGGGUUCAAAUGAUUCUCCUGCCUCAGCCUCUUGAGUAGCUGGGAUUAUAGACGCCCACCACCUCGCCUGG
rnacentral:lncRNA from 1 species